rnacentral:rRNA from 1 species
GAAGUUAGCCGGUGCUUAUUCUGUUGGUAACGUCAAAACAGUAAGGUAUUAACUUACUGCCCUUCCUCCCAACUUAAAGUGCUUUACAAUCCGAAGACCUUCUUCACACACGCGGCAUGGCUGGAUCAGGCUUUCGCCCAUUGUCCAAUAUUCCCCACUGCUGCCUCCCGUAGGAGUCUGGACCGUGUCUCAGUUCCAGUGUGACUGAUCAUCCUCUCAGACCAGUUACGGAUCGUCGCCUUGGUAGGCCUUUACCCCACCAACUAGCUAAUCCGACCUAGGCUCAUCUGAUAGCGUGAGGUCCGAAGAUCCCCCACUUUCUCCCUCAGGACGUAUGCGGUAUUAGCGCCCGUUUCCGGACGUUAUCCCCCACUACCAGGCAGAUUCCUAGGCAUUACUCACCCGUCCGCCGCUGAAUCCAGGAGCAAGCUCCCUUCAUCCGCUCGACUUGCAUGUGUUAGGCCUGCCGCCAGCGUUCAAUCUGAGCCAGGAUCAAACCCUG